rnacentral:rRNA from 1 species
CGGCGCGAAGGAGAAGGAGGGCCUUAGCGGUGGCGGGGACCUAGGGGAAGGAAGAAGGUGGAAAGAAGUUGCGGGUGCCGGUCGGGUGGCGCCGGAGAGGAUCAGCGGCGUAUGGAGUGCCUAGGUGGAGCCACAGCGGGUCUAGACCGCCUCGUGCGCAGGCUAAUCGGUGGCCCGAAACCACCGGCACCCACUGGCGACAGCCUCCUCCUCCAACCCCCCUCCUCGCCUGGUGCCCUAGACCGCCUAGGCGCAUGCUCCCCUCCACCACUCGGACAGCGCCGCUGCCCCUAGCGUCCAAGACUUCCACCGGUCUCUAGCGGCAGGAGGAGAGAGAAAGGGGGGCAGGAGGUGAUGGAAGAUAGCCGCUGGAGACGUUCGUCGGGCCUGCUACUGCGGUGCUGAUCGAGUUCUACGGAGGUCGGGGGCACGUCGAGCGCAACAAGCAGGUACGCCGCGCCUCGCGCACAUGCACGUCAGGAGCUUCGACUUGGUACCAUCGGCCCUCCGAGUGUUCUUCCCUUCGCUGUUUCCCUCGAGGUGGGGUACACCUCUUGUCCUUGCAACGACUUCGGUAUUUUUUGACCCGCCACGUCAGGCAGCUCCGUAGAAAACUUCGAGUGAAGUAAAACAAAAUAUCGAGCGGCACCUGAUUUUUUACUCGGUUCAAAGGAGCGCGCUGCGGCAAGUCAAGCCGUUCGGCACCGUACGUCACGCGACCGUACCUAACGUCGCGACCGUAGAAGUAGAAGGGGUCAAGCAGAGUUUUUUCCCCACAUCACGUCCUCUACGGUUUUGCUGUAGAAGGACAAGUCAAAAAACUAAAACCCGUCUACAAGUUUACUUCAAGUCAAAAACGUCGGGUGUAAGUCGCCACACUCGUCGAGGGUUCACGUCAAACUUCAGGCGUCACGUGAGGCCACCCCCGUUUCGUAACACGUCCGGCUCUUCACCUGCUCUGCUCUGCUCGGACCACCAAGAACGUCAAAGAUAACCCACGCUACACUAAGUGUGGCACACCCAGCGCCGUACGCCAAGGCUCACCUACAACCACUUCAGCACAAACACACACACACAAAGUCAGUACACAUAUAUUAAAGAAAAAGAGACAAUAAUACACCUACAAACGAACACGUUUGAAUAUAAUUUACACAGAAAAGAAAUAAUAAACGUAGUAAACACGUCACGUGAAUAG